rnacentral:lncRNA from 1 species
AUGUAUCUAGGGGUGCAGUUGGACUCGAUAACAAUGAGGGCGCGUCUGAGCCAGGAGCGCAUACAAGAUUUAAUGUCCGCUCUGAACGCAUUCAGACUGGGCCGUCCCGUAGCACUGAAGGAAUAUCAGAGGCUCUUGGGGCGGAUGGCGGCGGCCGCGACGGUCUGUCACCUCGGUCUACUCUAUAUGCGCCCACUCCAGUUAUGGCUGAAAACACAAGUACCGAGAAGGGCGUGGAAAUUGGGCCGUGCCCGCAUUGUGGUCACUCGCAGGUGCUUAAGCGCACUGAAACCAUGGCAGAACCCUGACUUGUACCAGCGCGGCGUCCAGAUGGGUCUGGUCACGCGGCGGAAAGUGGUCACGACGGACGCGUCGACGACGGGCUGGGGAGCUCACUGCGAUGGCUUACCGGCUUCGGGCCACUGGACAGAGUCGGAGAGAACGUGGCACAUAAAUCGCCUCGAGCUGAGAGCGGUUUCUUUAGCCCUUCAGAGUUUUAUGACGCAAAUCAGGGGGCACCACGUGUUGAUUCGCUCAGACAACAUGACGGUGGUAUCGUACAUAAACCGCCAGGGCGGAGUACACUCGAAAGCCCUGUACAGUCAGGCAGCACGCCUUUUGCUGUGGGCCGAUCAUCAUCUGCUCUCCAUUCAAGCAGCGCACGUUCCGGGAUGCCUGAACAGUGGCGCGGAUAUGCUGUCAAGGAACGGGAUUCCUCACGGAGAAUGGAGACUGAACCCUGGGACAGUGAGACUGAUCUGGGAACAGUUUGGGAAAGCGGAGGUGGACCUGUUCGCGACAGAGGAGAACACGCAUUGCCCUCUGUUCUUCUCGCUGUCACGCUCUCCCCUGGGCGGGGAUGCACUCACAAUGCCGUGGCCGAAUGCCCGUCUGUAUGCAUUCCCCCCGCUAAAGAUUUUGUCACAAGUGCUGCACAAAAUCAGAGAGGAGAAAGCGUCAGUGUUAUUAGUCGCUCCGUACUGGCCGAACAGGCCUUGGUUUCCCGAUCUUCUAGAAAUACUAACGGCUCCCCCGUGGCCGAUCCCGCUGAGACGAGAUCUCCUGUCUCAGGCAGACGGCUUGAUAUGGCACCCCAACCCAGAAUGGUGGAAACUUCAGGUGUGGAUGGUGUGUGGGAACCGGUAA